rnacentral:misc_RNA from 1 species
GAUGAAGAACGCAGCGAAAUGCGAUAAGUAAUGUGAAUUGCAGAAUUCAGUGAAUCAUCGAAUCUUUGAACGCACAUUGCGCCCCUUGGUAUUCCGAGGGGCAUGCCUGCUCGAGCGUCAUUAUAACCCCUCAAGCUCAGCUUGGUGUUGGGGCCUGCUGCACUGGCAGCCCUUAAAAUCAGUGGCGGCGCCAUCUGGCUCUAAGCGUAGUAAUUCUUCUCGCUAUGGAGUCCUGGUGGAUGCUUGCCAUCAACCCCCAAUUUUUCUAUGGUUGACCUCGGAUCAGGUAGGGACACCCGCUGAACUUAAGCAUAUCAAUAAGCGGAGGA